UACGUAGGGGGCAAGCGUUGUCCGGAUUUAUUGGGCGUAAAGAGCGUGUAGGCGGCUAGAUAGGUCCGUUGUGAAAACUCGAGGCUCAACCUCGAGACGUCGAUGGAAACCAUCUGGCUAGAGUCCGGAAGAGGAGAGUGGAAUUCCUGGUGUAGCGGUGAAAUGCACAGAUAUCGGGAAGAACACCCGUGGCGAAGGCGGUUCUCUGGGACGGUACUGACGCUGAGACGCGAAAGCGUGGGGAGCGAAACAGG
rnacentral:rRNA from 1 species